UGGCAGACGGGUGAGUAACAUGUGGGUAUCUACCCUUUGGCCUGGAAUAACACGAGGAAACUUGUGCUAAUACCGGAUAAGUCUUUACAGAGAAAGCUUUAUGCACCAUUGGAUGAGCCCGCACUUGAUUAGUUUGUUGGUAGGGUAAUGGCCUACCAAGACUAUGAUCAAUAGCUGAUUUGAGAGGAUGAUCAGCCACAUUGGGACUGAGACACGGCCCAAACUCCUACGGGAGGCAGCAGUGGGGAAUCUUGCACAAUGGAGGAAACUCUGAUGCAGCGAUGCCGCGUGAGUGAAGAAGGCCUUUGGGUUGUAAAGCUCUUUCGUCGGGGAAGAAAAUGACUGUACCCGAAUAAGAAGGUCCGGCUAACUUCGUGCCAGCAGCCGCGGUAAUACGAAGGGACCUAGCGUAGUUCGGAAUUACUGGGCUUAAAGAGUUCGUAGGUGGUUGAAAAAGUUGGUGGUGAAAUCCCAGAGCUUAACUCUGGAACUGCCAUCAAAACUUUUCAGCUAGAGUAUGAUAGAGGAAAG
rnacentral:rRNA from 1 species